GCGAGAGCGUAGCAGCGGCGACACCAUGCUCCUCUCGCCGGUACGAAAGCCUCUCUCUUCCCCCUCUUCCUCUUCCUCCGGUUUUCUUCUUCUUCUUCUCUCCGCCCUCUCUCCUUCCCUCCCUCGACCUCCCACCGCCUCCUCGUGUCCCGGCCGCCGCGUCCUCAGGGCUUCCUCGUCCUCCUCGGCAGUGGAGGGAGCGCCCAAAAGAAGCCCCAGAUUGGAAUCUAUCCUCGGGAUCACAUCCAGGAUCGGAAACAGCGCGAUGUAAAUACAUUAUUUAUGGAACUGGCAUUUCAGACAUCCUCUGCUGUCUUUUUCCAAUCACUUAUCGCAUAUGGACUCCUACAUUUCAAUCUUCAAAACUAAACUUGUACUAUCUUUCCUUUAACCAAAUGAUGUUGUUUGCUAUUUUGUUCGAAUAGUGUUCUUAGUACUUCUUGCUUUGAUUCAAUAAAUUGUGAUGUUCAGAGCUCAUAUUAUCUUGUGUUUAUUUGAUGCUAUUCAAAUCUGAUGCUUUCUCUAGUUUAUAAUUUUUAUUUUAAAUCCUAUUCUAACUCUUCCAUGAAUUCGUUAGUCAUGAUAUUUAUGCCUUCUUGUUUGUUAUUAUUAUUCAUGGAUCAUCGUAGUUUUCUAGACUCUAAGCAUGGUUAUCUCAACCCUUCUCAAUGAAACAGGGUUGUUAAAUGAAAGCCCUGACAUUCUCUAAAUGUGCCACUGCUCUUUGCGUUUAAGCUAACGACCCUUAAAUUGUUAUGGUGAUGGACUGUUUGUAUGCUUUCUGUUGAUGCUCUUAUUAAUUAACUACCUACGGGUGCUAAAUGGUGGUUUAUAUUUCAAAAAUUAUUCACCAUGAAACUAUCUGAUGACGCUGUUUCUGUUUCUGAAUGCUUGUGUCAAACAGACAACAUUGCUUCCUAGCAGUCCUUGUUAUAACAUAAAUAAAGCUGGCACUCAUAAGAGCUAUACCCUGCCUGUUUUGAAUUCUUUAUACCAAUUCACUAUUACAUCUCAUAUUCUCAUUUUACCCUUUCCUAGGUUUUGAUGAAAACUCACAAACAUUUCAUGGACAUUCUUCACUAUUCGGUCCCAAAACUUUUCCCAAUUUUGCAUGUAUGAGGUCCCACCAAUCUUCUUAGUUAAUCUCCAAUCAAAAUUUAGGCCAAACCUUCUGUUGAUUCCUUGGUGCUACUAGUGGCGUGAAUUUGGGCACUGGGAGUAAUUAUUUUAGUCAAAAAUUUUCUUAUUCUUCUUUAUACUUAGUUUUCAGGGCUGUUUACUAUUGGUUUGGAUAUCCUUAGAAUGACAAACCAGGGAAGUUAGUACCUAAACCAUUGAACGUAUGAGUUUUAAGACUAGACAUCGAAGGCAAAGGUAUAACCCUUUAUUGGUGAGUAAACUUAGGAAAGUAAAGUGAGAUUUCCCAGAGAAAUCCUUUAAGACUCCCAUCUCCAGAAUAUUUAGCUAUCAAUAGUAAAAUCCUAGAACAGUGGGAGUCUUGAAUUCUAUAUUUGGUAAAAUCUUGCUUGAACAGUGUUAGAGGACCUUCACAUUUGUUUUAAGCUCUAAUAGAAUUAUGGUUUCUUUUCACAGAAAAUUAUCUUAUUGUUUUAGAAUGUGUGUUGUUGAUACUCCAGAAGAGUAUCAAAGUCUGAAGCCUGAAGAUGAAACAUGUUGUAAAUAGAACUGCAGUAGAAACUUGUUCCAGAGUAAAAGCUCAACCUUUAGUUAAUAAUGUAGUGCAGUAUCUACAUCAGUCAAGUCAUCAUCACCAUAGUUACGAGUAACAAAAAUUAUCCAAAUAUUAAGGUUUGGAUAUGUGAACCCGUUCCUUUAAGGGACAAUAUUUGAUGUCCCUGCCAGCUUCUUCAAAAUCAUUCCUCAUUUCCAUUGAUCUCUUUUUGCAGUAUAUCUUGAUAUUUAUAUCAUUUUCUUCAAUAUAACUUUUUCAUAUUUGGCAAAAGCUUGCCGGAACAGCAGUAGAGGACCUCCAUUUUUGGUUUCUAUAUAGGGUUAUGGUUUGUUUUAGCAGAAAGUGAUUUUAUGGUUUUAGAAUAUUUGCUGCUGAACAUCUGAAGCCUGAAGAAUGAAACACAUCAUAAAUAGAAUUGCCAUAGAAACUUGUUCCAGGGAAACUUUUAGUUGUUGAUGCAGUAAAGUACGUAGAUCAGUCAAGUCAUGCAUCAUCAGGUAACAAACCUUAUCCAAAUAUUAAGGUUUAGCUUUGUGAAUCCAUUCCUUAAGGUUAAGGGCAAUUUCUGAUGUGACUGCUUGUUUCACCAAAUUUCUGAUGUCCCUGCCAGUUUCUCCAAAAUCAUUCCUCAUUUCCAUUCAUGUCUUUUUGUGGCGUAUCUUGAUAUUUAUAUCCUUUUCUUCCAUGUAGCUUUUCAUAUUUGGCAAAAUCUUGCCGGAACAGCAGUUUAGGACCUCAAAUUUGUUUGCUACUUUUAAAAAAUUAUUAUUUCUUUUAACAGAAGUUAAUUUUAUGGUCUUAGAAUAUUUCUUCCUGAUACUCCAGCAAAUCAUCAACAUCUGAAGUUUGAAGAAUGAAACAUGUCAUCUGUAGAAACUUGUUCUAGAGUAAAAGCUCAACCUUGAGGCUGCAUUUGGUUCAGGCAUAAGCAGGCUAAAGGCUUAACCAAGGAAUAGUUAUGCCGGUCAAACUUGCAAUGACUGGCAUGACUAUUCCAGAGGGGAGCUGUCAUAAUUCACUCCUUGGCAUAAAGGCGCCUUUUAUGCCUACUUUCUACUUUUUUAUGGACAAGAAAGUCAUCAUCCAAAAAUUAUUCCAAAAACUAGAGCCAAACAAAAAUUGGCAUGACUCAGGGCAUAACUAUUCCUUUAAGCAUAACUUUUCCUAUUCCCAUUUUUUCUUUUCCCUGAACCAAAUAAAGCCUUAGUUAAUAAUAUAAUACAAUACUUACAUCAUCAAAUCAUUCAUCAUCAUGUUCAUGAGGUAUCAAACCUCAUCCAAAUAUUAAGGUUUAGAUUUGCGAAUCCAUUUUUGAAGGGACAAUGUUUAUGUCACUGCCAGCUUCGCCAGAGUCAUUCCUUUUUUCCAUUCAUGUCUUUUUGAGUCCUUCCCCACCUCAAAUUGAACCUGGAUCCCCUCUUCUAUUCUAUGUUCCUCACAUCUUUAUUGCAUAUGGGCAUGCCAUCUCAAUAAAAUUCACUAAUGCUUCCAUAGUGAUGCAACUAUUGUGCCUCCUCAAAUGUACUCAUAUCCUACUUCCAUUGAACCUAUCAUAUCCAUCAAAGCAUUUUAUAUCCACGAACCUAUAACCUAAAGCUCAUGGCCAAUCUUUGUUGCCAAUAUUUUGAACCAUACAGCACAAGUAGAUGGUUUCUUGAUUCUUUCCCCUAAUUCUAUACUGUCUUACAUACAAAGAUUGGAUUCUUUAAUGGCGGAAUCUAAGAAGGAUGUGUGUCGAAGCACCAAAUAUACUUCAUGAAGAUGAAAAUUUUUGAACCCGUGCUGAAUUGUUCUGCACUCUAGAACUGAUUAAAUUUUUAAAAAUUAACUUUGACAUAGCCCAUAAUGCUACACUUGAUUCUUGGGUAUUGAAGAAAAAGGUAAUUAUAUCUUCAUCAAAUGCAUAAUUAUAUGAUGAGCUUCUGCCAGAAUUGUGCAUUACAUGCACAUAAUUUCCUCCUUCCUCUAUGAAGAUUCAUAUUUGUAUCCCAUGUUUAUUUUUUAUCUUGGUAUCUGAAAGGACAAUAUUAAUGAAGGCUACUGUGCUGAAACUUUACUUUCCACUCAACAAACUAUUGGUGGGUUUUUACUCGGAAGUAUGAUCUUUUAAAGUUUUGGAAAAGUGCUUUCAUAAAUAAUUUCUUCAAAUAAUAGUGACUUUCUUUUGGUUGCUUGCGAUGUGUACAGGAUUUGGCAACUAAUUAUAUAUGCUAAUAAUUUUGUAAUUUCUACACGAGGCCAUUGCAAGUACUUUACCUUGGUCCAUAUGUCAGUGACUUCAGUAUAAUAUCGGUACUGUCAUCAGUUACAUUAUCAGCUCUUGGAUAAGUUACUGCUUAUAUUGGGGAAGGGAUAUUUGAAGUGAAAGUUGGAAAUGGAACGUCUCUUUUAAAAUUCACAGGUAUCAUAUCAUACUUGCCCGCAUCAUUUGGAUGAACAGUUAGUUGCACAAGCAUUUCAGGAUAGAAACUACAUGGGACUUGCUAUUAGUCCUUGGUAUUGUAUAUGUCCAGGUAACUCCAUUUUCUUUUCCCUCAAAAAAAGAUUUAUUUUAAAUUUAUUGUUUUGGGAUAACCGGCAUCCCAACAAAGGGUUUCAGGAAGCUGAGAGGAAAAUACCACUCAAUUAUUGUUUGAGAUGCAGCAGUAGAAGCAGGGGGCUUCAAAAAUCUGCAUAUCUUUCUUUCAAGGAGAUUGGUUCAGAUAUGUCUAAAACAGACUAAAUGAGGCUGAAAUCCAUGGCAGUUUUGGUUCUUGUUACAUUUUGGAAGGCUAAGCUUUGAACUUCCACUUCCGGGAUAAGUUAACUUUAUUAUUAAAACUCUAAUGCAGAAUAUGAGGAGUAAAAACCUAGUUUUGAUUUUUACUUUCUCAGCAUGACUCUAGCUUGUGAAAACUGAAACAAAAGGUAGGUUAUCACACUUACAUACAUGAAGAAUUUUGAAGAGGACAUGAGCAAGGUCAAAUAGCCAUUUUAGAUUUACUUGAUUUUGUAAAGGUUGAAGUAUUGACAAAAAUGAAUUAAAGUUGAGACAUGUUUUAUCCAUGUGUGCAAUUGAUAUGGGAUGACUUAUUGAGUUAUAGAGCUAAUAAUGGAGAACAUUAUUAAAUGACUUAUUUUCAUGUAUGGGAUGACUUAAUGAGUCAUAGAGCUGCUGUGACACAUCCAACAUUCUGAAGGUAUAUCCUUAUAAUUUUGUUUUUGGUAAGAAUAUUCUUAUCGAAUUUCAUCACCUAAAGUUUAUAUUGAACUAAAUAAAUGAUAGUCAGGCUCAGACUACUGCAGUGAUGCCUCAUUUUGUAUAUUUCUUUCCUGUGUUUGGGGGAAUAUAAAUUUUCAAUUUAUUGCCUUUGCUGGACUUUCUACACCGAGAAUGAGUCAUCGUUUUUUUUUUAUAUUGGGUGGGUGGUUGGGUGGGUGCAACAGGAGUCAUAGGUUUUGCUGGCCACAUAGUUUGAUUUUAUUUUUCUAAAUCACAAUUGUACUCCAAAGAUACUUUCUUUUCCAUUUGACUUGGCCGCUUUUAUUUUCCAUUUCACCUUAACCAUAUAGGUUUUGGGAAAACUUCAUUUUCUGUCUCUGUAGUCGUUUACCAACCACUGCCUUGUAAUUGCUGUUGUCACCAUGCCUUUUUGUUCAUGCUUUUGUUUUGCUAUAUCAAACUAAUAUGGCUAGCUACUUCCCAAAGUUGUGCUAGCGAUGUUGGCACUAACUUUCAGUCCUGGGUUCAAAUCUCAGUACACUUUGCUAUUGGUUAUCAAUCUGUUCACGAUCUUAAUGAAGUGAAUUUGGAUAGGCCUGCCCAUCUUUUCUCCGGCAGCUCCUACCCUAAUCGGUGUAUCUCGGUUCUGCACUGUCCAAAUGGAUGAUGGCCACUAAUUUUGGCACAUGAUCUGUUCUGGUUUUGCUAUUGGUCCUGGAAAGCUUUUUUUUUUUCCUUCCAUUUUGCCAUAGUUGGUUGGUAUCUUUUCCCAUUUUAUAGUUUAAUAGGGGAUCCAGCAUCAUAGAGUAUUCAAUUACCUGUAGGAAAGGAAAAGAGACAGCCCAUGCGGUCAGCAAGGAAUAGAAUGGAGAGCUCAUGAGACACCUUAUGUAAAGCCUACGUUGGUUUAAGGCUUUACACCUUAUGUAAAGCCCGCGGGUCCGGGUUGGAUCCUAAAAUUAGAUCCGAAUUAUUUUCUGGAUCGGGUCUGGGUUUACCGAACAAACCCGAUCCGACCCAAAUGGACCCGAAGAGAGAGAGGAAAAGUAAGAGAGAGUUUUUGUGUGUGUGUGUGUGUAGGUGUGGGUCAUGGUACUAUUGGUCGUUUUUAAGUGAAUUUAUGGCGGGUUUUCAGGGCAGACAGGAAGGAGAUAUGGGUUUCUUAGGAGCUUGUUAGCUUGUUCCCUAGGGGAUGGGAAAUGCCCUCCAUCAAGGAGGGAAAGCUUUGGACCAAAAAAAAAAGAAAAAAAAGAAAAGCCUUAAGGGGAGUACGGUUCAAGCGUGGAAGGAUAGAAACAAGCAUAGGUUCACAGAAUCCAAAGGAACCUUGGCCCGUCAAGAUUCUC